CAACAAGGAAGGCAAAGCUGGGAGGGGAUCUGUUGUAAAUGUCUAGCCUAGGUGUGUCCCUGGAGGUUUUCUGGCAGAAAUUUGAGCUUGCAGAGUCCUCAGUUCAAGUGUGCUUGUUGGGAGAUGCUGAUUGCGAGCCUCGGUUUUUAGAAGGUGGCAUGCUGUGGUCUGCGGUGGGCUAUGAAUUCUGCUGGAGUCCAUGCGCUUUGCAGCAGUGCUGCUUCUUCUCACAUCAGGAAAAGCCUCCCUCACUGCACAGUACCCAGCAUACUUACUUCCAAGGACAAAUACUAUGCAACUUGGAUCAAAGAAAGGAAAGUGUACUUUGUUACAGGUGGGAAAACAAGACGGAUUGUAUGUCCUUCAGUGUUCGUGUAGGCUGGGAAGUGGGAGGAGAAAAGCAAAACAAAGCUGAAAAUGAGUGUUGAAUGGGCUUUCCCAGGAUCCCCAGGGUGAAACUGAAGAAAUUCUGGAGAGGUCAAAGGAGCUGUACAUAAUAUGCUUGAAUUUCAUAAGGACCCACUCAAAAUUUCUACAAUGACAAAUUUUGCUCAGCUUCAGUGUCUUUACUGGAAUUUGGAAUAGUGGUUUCACCACUAAUAGAUACAUUGGGCCCCCACUCACUGUGUUGGAGCUACAAAAGCAGCAAUGAAUGUGGAAAGAAGGAUGAAAUAUGCCUGAGUAUGCCUAUGUACUUUUCAAUUUAAACUGGAG
rnacentral:lncRNA from 1 species